UACGGGGGGGGCAAGCGUUGUUCGGAAUUACUGGGCGUAAAGGGCUCGUAGGCGGCCAACUAAGUCAGACGUGAAAUCCCUCGGCUUAACCGGGGAACUGCGUCUGAUACUGGAUGGCUUGAAUCCGGGAGAGGGAUGCGGAAUUCCAGGUGUAGCGGUGAAAUGCGUAGAUAUCUGGAGGAACACCGGUGGCGAAGGCGGCAUCCUGGACCGUAGUGACGCUGAGGAG
rnacentral:rRNA from 1 species